GCCUCGUCGCCAUUCGCUGCGCUGCUUACUCGUCAAGGCACGCCGCGCGCUGACUGGCCGCGGCCACCAGUCUCCAGGCCCCAGACGCCCCUCUCCGCCCCCCGCCCCCGCCCCCCAGCAAAUAAUAAACAAUCGAGUAAAAUUCUAAGGAAGGAGAGAGAGGAGAGGGAAAAAAGGAGAGGGCGCACUAGAAACCAAUCCUUCGCGCGCUGGCGGUGGGAGGGUUCAAGGGGGGACGCGAGAGGACAGCGGACGGGAGGAAGGGAGCCGACUUGGGGCGGUGGGUCCUCCAGCGACGAGGAGGCGUAGGGGCGGAAAGUUGCAGCGCACUCGACUGGGCGCGACUGGCAGGGGCCAGUCUGCCAGCACACCAUUGCCCCUACUCCACUCAGCCACUGUCUUGCAUUCUGAGGAGGAAGAUUUGUUCUGAAUAGAAAGUAGAGGAAACAGAAGCACUGGAGAAACUGUAUGUCGAUUCUGCUUAGCAACUGAUUAUACAUUAUCUAACCUUGUUUUUAAAGUAUUUCAAUUUAACACAAUGGAGCAAAUAACCAGAACAAACUUCCUGAUGAAAACUAAAGCUGGAUAAGAUUUUUAAAAAAUUUUUAAAUGGAUUUUAUUGAGCUGGCAAAAAAGCAAGAAACCCACAGAGACCAAAAACAAAGGUGGGAAGUGAGCACACUCCUAGAAAAUCUGACAACAUUUGAGCUUCUACUUUGACAGGUGUGCAGAGUCUGGGACACAGAAGGUAAAUCCUCAGUCUUGUCCAAGAUCAGGAGAAUAAGAAGACUCUACCCCCCUAAAAGCAGGAGUCCAAAGGGCCAAAGUAAAGGUGAAUGUGAAAUUAACUGGCUUUGCAGAAGAGGAUCCCAGGAAAAAUCGUCUGUCUUGAUCAAAGUCCUGAAUAAAAGAGUAUAAAAAAAUUCUUCCUUGAAAAUUCA